CGCGGAUACUGGUGUUAAUCCCUAUUUAUAACGUAUAUUUGUACAGUGUAUUGAUCUGACACCACUAAAGAAGUUUAAUGGGCCUGACCAGAGUAUGCGGCCCAAAUGGUACCCUAUUCCCUAUAUAGUUCACUACUUUGACCAGAGUCUUAUGGGACUGGUCAAAAUUAGUGCAAUAAAAGAAGAAUAGUGUACCAUUUGGGAUGCAAUCCAGGUGAUUACUCCUACAGAGGCUCAUCAGCCACUAUGAGCCUUCUACAGAUCGGACAGGUGCUGGGUGUGAAGACAUCUAAAAGCCCUUCCUAUACUGAUGAUCUAACCUAACCUGUGGCAUCACGACUCACUCACAACCCUCAUCAACACACCGCCACCGCACAUGCCCAGUGGCCCACAACAUCAGUGACAUCAUCAUGCUUCCACAUCAAACUAUAAAGACUGGAAAUGAUAACACAGACAGCAUCUAAAGUGUGUUUGAGUUCAGUGGUUCCCACAUGUGGGCACACAGAGUGGAGCAGGCUCAGACAUGGGGGCCAUUUAGAAAAACAGACAGAGAAUACGUAUUUCCGCUGGUUCUCAAACCCAGAUUAGACUCGAGAUGUCUUAAGUAGCUGAACAUGUUAUUACUUCGACCUUGUGAAAGUGACAAACUGACACUUUUUUUUCAUUUUGUAAAAAAACGACUUUAUAUAGAAGGAGUGCCUUUGAUUUUACGGCCUGCACAUGAGCUAAGCUAGCUAACAUCGCCCAUGACAUCGACUACAAGCGUGAUCUGGGAUUUCUAUUGGAGAAGCAGUUUCUGGAGCUCUUCAUCUAUCGGCUCUUUGGGCUCUCUCUCAUCUAGCUCAGUUGCUGCUCUCUGUCAGUGACAUCAUGGGAAGUCUUUGAGCUUGUACAAAUAGAUGUCAUGGAAUGAAUUCACCUCUCUCUCAUGUUGUGUAACAAUGAUGAUGAUGAUGAUGAGCGCACAAUGCAUGUGUGACUGACUAUGAGUCCUAUCUGAAUGAGACUAUUGUCUGUGCUGACGUGUGAUGAUAACACUUCUUCAACAUAAGCUUUAUACAUAGCGUCCACUGUGUGUACAGGACGCCCAGGCUACGGCAUUGCCCUCCCGGCGCCUACCCUCCAUGGCAAGCUGAAAGGGCACGUACAUUUAAUUCCAGACUCAGUGGUGGUAGUCACAGUUUAAUCAUCAUUCCAAAAAUCUCUUCUGCUUUUUUCUCUGUGGGGUGAUUUCACUGUACGCAAAUAAAAUAACCAUCAUUAUGCUGAUUCUGAAUGGAUAUAUGAUCACGGUACAUUUCCAAAAUAAAUGAUUUUUCAAUGGGAGUUCUGGUACUGCAUACUGUAAAGGGUAUGGAAGGAGUGUGUGUAAGUAAGGGGGUUGAUGUGAAUGGAGAGUGACCUUGAAAUUGUAUGACUGUUAACCAUGGUAGCAUACACUGAGAUGGUGUUGACAGUGAAUGUGUAAUGAUGUGUAUAAUAUGUGUCAUUAUAACACAGCCAGCAACAUUUUAAGUUUCUUUGAGUUCAAUGAUUCUCACAUGUGGGCACACAGAAAGGAGCAGGCUCAGACACGAGCCAUUUUGAAAAACAGACAGAGGAUAGGCGCCUCUGCAUGUCUCAUCUGGCUCAGGUGCUGCUCUUUGUCAGUGACAUCAUCAUCGCGGGCAGGAAGCCUUUGAGCCGAAGCAAAGCGAUGAUGUCAUGGAAUGGAUUCACAAAUACACAAUGCAGUUGUGAUUGACUUUGAGUCCUAUCUGAAUAUGAGACUAUUGUCUGUGCUGACGAUUGAUGAUAACACUUCUUCGACAAAAGCUUUGGAGCGUCCACUGUGUCUGGAUACAAGAGACUGUACAGGAUGCUCAGAAGAAGAAGAGGGGGAGUAGGUAGGCACUGCCUGCCUGGCACCUGCCCUCCAUAACCAGCUUAAAGGGCACAUACUGUACACAGCCACAGGCAGGACACAGCCACACUAGUACAGCCACAGGCAGGACACAGCCACAUACUAGUACAGCCACAGGCAGGACACAGCCAUAUGCUAUGUACAGCCACAGGCAGCACACAGCCACAUACUAGCACAGCCACAGGCAGGACAUAGCAGCCACAGGAAAGACACA
ensembl:lncRNA